CCUUAGACAGACAUCACUCUUUAGAAUCCCUGCAACUUUGAGCAAGUUCGUGAAUCUCACUAAGGCUCAGUUUCCUCCAUAAAAUUAAUCAAUAUCAGGGCCUCUGCAUUGGACAACUCCAGAGGGCACCAUUGGGGUUAUACCUUGUGUUUGCCUAACCUUCAUUGCAGUGGGCAGGUGCAUGCUUUCUACAAUGUCCUAAGGUCUAAAGGGGUAGAGUUCUGUGUGUGGCAUUUUAGGCCUGGAAAGGAUGAGAGUCUACAAAACCAGAGAAAUACUGCAGCAAAUGGUCAAACCCAGGAGGGAAUGGUAUGAACCUCUGGUUUACAGCCAUUGGUAAGAAGCACACAUGACAACCUGGACUUUCCAUCAACAUUUGAAGCGGGAGCAGUCUUGUGGGAUCAAGCUCUUAACCUGUGGGGUCUGCUACUAACUCUGAAUCCAAUGAACACAUGGACCCAACACUCCUUUGGCCAAGUUGAUGAUUCUCCACCAUUUAUUUGCCUGCCUCACUAUACACUUCUAGCAAGCCACUGCAAGGCUGCAUUGCAGCUAAGAGGAAGCCCUCCUUGAAGGCUGCACAGCAAGGAGUGUUGGCAGAGUAGCUGGGUUUCCACUGGGAGAGCACGAGUCAGCAUCAUGCUGGGCUCAAGCAUGGAUAUGCACUGCUGCUGCCAGAGCAUCAUAAUUUGCAAGCAUUUAUCGAGUACCCUUCAUCUAAUUUUCAUCCUGCGGAAACUAGAAAUUGCUACACUUGCACACAAUAAACUUCUGGCAGUUAGCCUUCUAAACUGGGACACUACCAUUUGGGAGGGAAAAGACCUUUCUGGUGGUUAAAGAUGGGGCUUCCAGUUACUGCAUUUGUUUUAAUACAGUCUAUUCCAUAGAGCCAUCGAUGGAGACUCAUUAUAUAACCUUUCGUGGAAAGCUUCUGACUUCUUUCUCAAUGCACAGGUGGGAUGUAAAGGGACAUCCCCAUCAUAAGGCACUUGCCCCAGGCUAGGAACUUAAUUCUCCCACUGUCGACAUGUGGCUCUUUAGAUUUCAUGCUGUAAGUCUCCAGAGGUUUCUCAGGUCUUGCCCUGCAGAAGCAGAAGUCAUGGGAAGGAGCUGUCGCGUAGUUCUUUUUUUUUGGAGCUUGGGUGCUGAAGAUCAGUUCCUCCAACUUUUUGGUUUUUUAAUGUUUCACUCCAACUGCAAAUUUCACCCCAUUUCUAGUGUACUCUCCUUGAGAGAAGUGGAGUUUCAGAUGGGAGCAACUUCACUUGAAGCCCAUAUUAAAUAUGGGAAACACAUUUUCUGCAUCAUAAGAUGGGGACAUUUUUAUGAUACCAGUACUCUUAGGAAGUGGACUGUUCAGAAAAAUGAUUUGGAUUGAAGAGGGCACACAUAUAGGUGGAAGAGUUGGUUGUGAAACAAGGGGAAGAAUUAACUGGUUUCUCCACUGAAGGAGGGAGGAAAAAAAUAAAAGGAAAGAAUAUGGGUAUAUCCAGCAAGACAGACAAAUGUAUGCUCUCCAAGCACUCUCUCUCUCACCUAUCCCAGUUCUUUCAUGUUACAAAAUUCACAAAAUGGCUGUGUGUACAUGAAUUUUGGUGGAAACAGUGAAGAAACUGAGCUUCAUGCUGACAUUGACACAGAGUAGGACAGCUCUAAGUGCUUCACGUGACUUUUGAGUUAUAGCUGACUGCCCUAGCUCACAUUUUAGUGCCAGAAGAUCCCAGACCACCACCCAUGAUCCCAGGCUGGAGGAAGCAGCAGGCUAGCGGAAUUCAGGACCAAUGAGCCAGGAAAGAGGACCCAAUGCAGAGCUCACAUCCCACCCUCCUUCCCCCAUGACAAAGCACUGGCAAACCCUGCCAAAGAAGAAGCUUGGCUGCAAAGCAGUCUGGAACUGGACCCGGGAUAGAUUCACCAGGAGCUCACCACCACAGGGAAUGCUGCACUUUGACUGGACAGAAUGCAUCCUCCAUGCCCACAGAGCAUGUGCCCAGGAUGAAUCUCACUGUAUCCCAGUUCCUCAUGCUUGGCCCCAAACCUCUUUUUCACAGUAAUAAAGAAAACACACUUUACAAAAAGGCAGUUCAUCUAUGAACAUAUUGGCUAGGAUAACACAUCUUAGAGCUAAAUGUGUCACUGUAAAUGGACUCAUUUUAUAUCUCCACAUACUGUAGAUGUUUAAAAAAAGGUACAUGCACAGAAACUAUGGGAACUGAACUGGAGUAUGAGCCAAUUACCCUAGACUUUGCUGUAAUCUGACUUUUGUGUAGCACAUUUUCUUUAGCAUUUUUCUUAAUGGGGGAUGGGGAGUGGAGGCAAAGGAGACAAACUGACAGCAG
rnacentral:lncRNA from 1 species